rnacentral:lncRNA from 1 species
CUGGGAUGUGGCAUGAGCAAAACUGACAAGUCAAGGCAGGAAGAUGUCGCCAUCACAACUCAUUGGGUUUCUGCUGCUCUGGGUUCCAGCCUCCAGGGGUGAAAUUGUGCUGACUCAGUCUCCAGACUUUCAGUCUGUGCCUCCAAAGGAGAAAGUCACCAUCACCUGCCGGGCCAGUCAGAGCAUUGGUAGUAGCUUACACUGGUACCAGCAGAAACCAGGUCAGUCUCCAAAGCUCCUCAUCAAGUAUGCUUCCCAGUCCAUCUCAGGGGUCCCCUCGAGGUUCAGUGGCAGUGGAUCUGGGACAGAUUUCACCCUCACCAUCAAUAGCCUGGAAGCUGAAGAUGCUGCAACGUAUUACUGUCAGCAGAGUAGUAGUUUACCUC